AAUCAACGCUGGCGGCGUGCCUAACACAUGCAAGUCGAACGCGAAAGCCCCUUCGGGGGCAAGUAGAGUGGCGUCCGGGUGAGUAACACGUGGGUAAUCUACCUCCGGGUGGGGAAUAACUCGCCGAAAGGCGGGCUAAUACCGCAUAAUGCAGCGGCACCGAAUGGUGAUUAGUUGUUAAAGCGGGGGACCUUAGGGCCUCGCGUCUGGAGAGGAGCCUGCGGCAGAUUAGCUUGUUGGAGGGUAAUGGCCUACCAAGGCUGCGAUCUGUAGCUGGUCUGAGAGGACGGCCAGCCACACUGGCACUGACACACGGGCCAGACUCCUACGGGAGGCAGCAGUGGGGAAUUUUGGGCAAUGGGCGAAAGCCUGACCCAGCAACGCCGCGUGAAGGAGGAAAUCCUUCGGGAUGUAAACUUCACAAGCAAGGGAAGAGCGCGCAGGGUCGAAUAAACUCUGCGUCCGACGGUACCUUGCGUAAGCCACGGCUAACUACGUGCCAGCAGCC
rnacentral:rRNA from 1 species